GAUGCCUUUGGGUGCUAUCGGAAUUAUAGUUUUCCAAUCAGACACGAUAUGCAACUACGCAAUAAUAAACAGAUGUGGGGCUUUCAAAAGGAAAAGCAUUGCACAUGGUUGGCUGUGGACGUGGUCCCAAGGUUGGUUUCUUGAUGAAGCAGUGAGACGUUCAGCCUGGACACUCUUUAAGGUUGACCGGACCAAACGCACCAGACAGUCUGUCAAAAGAAACCGAGUCGCUGUUGAUCCUCAUGUCCUGGAUGCAUCCCACAAAGGACGAUGUAACAGGGAGCAUCUUUUGCAUUGACAUCUCUGCAGCAGAAAAACAGUCUGAUCCUGCCUUUGGAUAUGUAUAAAGCGAGAUGAGAGCGCCCCUCUCUGGUAGCAGCAAAGAACAGCAGGCCCUCAGGAGCUCGAGUCCUGACAUCGAGAGAAAAGUGGGGCCUGGAGAGGAUGAAGACAGACACCAUCUUAGUGUUUGCUUGUGAUGGCUCUGCCAUGACAUAUUGUAGUGUUCUUCUUAAGAGGGCAAACUCAGCCAAGCACACUUGUCAUUUACAAAUCCUCCAUUCAUGCGUGUUGUAUGUGCAUAUGAAAUGUGAUGGAAAACAGGUUACUCACCUGGGCUGCAGGACCUGUAGUGGAAGGCUGUAGCUCAGGCUGCUGACAGGGCCACUAAUGCGAUAAGCAUUUUGAACCAGGGCUGGUAAUGCACACGCUGAUAGACUCUCAUUUAUCGCCUGCAUCACAACGUCCUAAAAGAGCAAAAACAAACAAGACCCACUCAGCACAAGGCACAAAAUUGUCACUCCUAUCCGAGUUUGUGCACGUAUAUCUAAGUCACGUAAGUCUCCAACGGGGUUCAGCUCUGUCAGUAAAUAAAGAUGAGAGGGUGAGACAAUGUAUAGUGGUCAGAACGACUACAAUACUA